rnacentral:siRNA from 1 species
CUGAGCAAGUGUUGCAUCA